UGGGGAAUUUUGGACAAUGGGCGAAAGCCUGAUCCAGCAAUGCCGCGUGUGUGAAGAAGGCCUUCGGGUUGUAAAGCACUUUUGUCCGGAAAGAAAUCCUUGGCUCUAAUACAGUCGGGGGAUGACGGUACCGGAAGAAUAAGCACCGGCUAACUACGUGCCAGCAGCCGCGGUAAUACGUAGGGUGCAAGCGUUAAUCGGAAUUACUGGGCGUAAAGCGUGCGCAGGCGGUUUGCUAAGACCGAUGUGAAAUCCCCGGGCUCAACCUGGGAACUGCAUUGGUGACUGGCAGGCUAGAGUAUGGCAGAGGGGGGUAGAAUUCCACGUGUAGCAGUGAAAUGCGUAGAGAUGUGGAGGAAUACCGAUGGCGAAGGCAGCCCCCUGGGCCAAUACUGACGCUCAUGCACGAAAAGCGUGGGGAGCAAAACAGGAUUAGAUACCCUGGUAGUCCACGCCCUAAAACGAUGUCAACUAGUUGUUGGGGAUUCAUUUCCUUAGUAACGUAGCUAACGCGUGAAGUUGACCGCCUGGGGGAGUACGGUCGCAAAGAUUAAAAACUUAAA
rnacentral:rRNA from 1 species